rnacentral:rRNA from 1 species
AUACAUAUGUCCCGAGUGUUACCCGGAAUAAUUGGGUGUAAAGGGUCCGUAGGCGGAUUGAAAAGUUAGACAUGAAAGACCGAAGCUCAACUUCGUGUUUGUAUCUAAAACUCUCAAUCUAGAAUUAGGGAGAGGUAAGCGGAAUUCUAAGUGUAGGGGUGCAAUCCGUAGAUACUUAGAGGAACACCGAAAGCGAAGGCAGCUUACUGGAACUAUAUUGACGCUGAGGGACGAAAGCGUGGGUAGCGAAAAGGAUUAGAAACCCUAGUAGUCC